UCUGCGCGUGCAUGUAGCUUUAUGUUUAAAGGGGUUUGGGGUUUUUUAAUCAGAAAGAAGUUCUAAAACCGCACAGCAGAGAGCAGUGCAAUGUCAGGGUCGCCAAUGCCUGCGCUUAGAGGGAUGGAACAGGUUUCUUUGGGCUCAGGAGGUUUUGAAAGCAUCACAGCCGAGAAGGGGGUUUGGUCUUUUCUGCAGAUAUUUGAACACUGUUCAUCUGUUCUUGCUAAUUUGAUGAGAAAGGACAAGCUGUAAAGAAAAAUCCUUCCAGCAGGCCAGGAAAGACCAAGAGAACUCGCCCCCCAGCAAUAGCUUUGUUCCAGUGAAAGGAAGAAGCCUGAUGUAUAUUACCUUCCAAGGCUAACAGGUCUCCUAAAGGGGUGGAGAACACAUCAAAAGAAGCUCUUCCUGAACCUCACCAAGCAGUAUGGUCUCAUAAUCUGGCUGUCCAGGGACUAGAUCUCAGAAGUACAGCACAGUAUGCAUAUCUUCCCAGGGGCACACUGAGUUUGGAAAUACAAGCCACAAGCCUUGGACAUUUUAGGGGACCAGCUUCAACGAGGAAAUCUCAGAGGACUUGUGAUGAGAAGGAGGACUCCUGAGGAGUUUGCAGGUGGAUUUCCUGAACCAUUUCAAGAGUUUGGACCUUGGGCAAUGAACACUAAAAGCGUGAACUGUUAUCAUUUUAAUGUAAAGUAAGUAAUUUCUCUAGCUAGCAGCUGUAAUAGAUUCUUAACCUCUCAAAGGACUCUGGAGCUGACUAAUUUGACACUGCAUUGGCACUUAGCACUUGAAUGGCCUGAAAAGAACAUGUCACAUGAAUGUAUAAUUGAAUUUUAAUUGACCAGACCGAUACAUAAACAGGAAAUGUUUUCUGACAUGUAGACCUCUGUGUUAUCAUCUGCCAAACAAUGAAACAAAGCAAGGAGUAUGCAGAAAGACAACUUCUUCCAAGAAAUGUCAUUCUGCACAAAUGAGGCCCUUCUUUUCAAAUGAUGACCCCUAAGUAAGAGGGAGUUGUGGCUUUUAAGCAAGAGACUUGCCAAAGCUUUUAUAUGACUACUUAAGUCUUUAUGCAAGCUCAGCUCAAAACCAGUUUGAAUAGUCUUUUACACAUCCCUGAGGAUCACUGUGGCUGUUGAAAUGACAAUUGUACCUCUUGUCCUCAAAAUGUGGUGCGUACCUAGAUUCUUUCUACUUAAUCUGUGUGGCGAGACUUCAAAAAGGCUAGUAGGAGAAAUAAAGUGGGAAGGAGGCCAGAUUCAGAAUGACUAGAAAAUUAGUGUUUAAAACUGUUUUUAACAAUAUUUAGGACCAAAUGAUACUUACUGUAUUCAUGUCUGCACAAGAAGAUGAAGUACCCCAGCCUCUUGAGCAGAAUACUCCUUUGGGAUGAAUAUGGUCCAGGGAAUAAAGUAAACACAAAGAGAUGCAUAACAUGGCCAGGACUAGUGGCAGGGAGUGGCAGUAAAAACAGCCUUUGGCUAGGAGACUCUCCAGUUACCAGCAGAACUUGUGAAACUGCUGAAGUUGUUAAUUUUCUCAUUGAAAGUCUCCUUUACCAGCCCUUGCUUCAAAUGAGAGGAGGAGAUGUGAGACAGGGAGGCAAGGAAUGCUCUACUGCCUCAUCUUUAGCAAAGAAAGACUGUAGCCUAUCCUCCUUGUAUCUCUUUAUUCAACAUUGUUAGUGAGAGGGUGGAGGAGAGCUCGUAACAGUUCUGAAAUCCUAUGUUUGCAGGCAACCAAAACACUGUUAAACUUUGGAUAAAGGAUAACAUUUCCAGGCUUUACAGCAGAAAGAGACAAGGAUCUUUGAAUCCUAGGACAGAGUGGUGAAAUAAGAAUAGAGAAGGUGAGUCUUUACUCAAGAUAAUGCCUGUGGUGACUUUUCAUCAAAAUAAAGACAUUUCAGCAAAACAAUUCAGUUUCCUUUAAUCAGCAUUUUCCGACAAAAGCUCUCACAUAGUCUUAUAAGGCAUUCUAGUAUCGGCUGAGGUUUGGAUUCCACCCCUUCAGACAAGGUAUUUGAUUAUAUUUUUGUUGGCCAGAAAAUUGAUCUUUGGCCUACGUGGCAAUUUGCAAGUCUGUGGCAGAAUUGUUCCACCUUUAGCACAGCAGAAUUCUACACAUCUCACUUGAGACAGAGUUAUUCUACUGCUUUGCAGAAUUUGUGUACUGCUACAACCCUGAUUGUCACAUGGAUUGAAUACACCUUCAGGGGAGACCUUUUCUGUCUCUGAGCUGACAACCAAAAUAGGGUCCCAGAACAGACAGAAGCAUUACGCUUCGAAAAGUGCUUGCCUGUUUUCAUUGUACUUUCAAGUACUUAUAGAAAAUGAAUGGAUAUUUUUUUUGCUCAGCCUGAUCAUAUUUUCUCUGUGAUCAGAGGAAAGUCAAAGAACACUGAAAAUCUCAUCACUGAGGGACUCCCUUCAGAUCUUACUUACACUCUUCUGCAGACCCCCAUGACUUACCCCCAUCUGUUUCGCUGCCAUCAGCUAACCUGGAUUCCUGACGUUUAGACCUGUGCUUCAUGCCUUGAGCUCUACUAUUUAGCUAGAGCUCUGGACUAUUUAUGUCCCUGCCAUGAUACAGUGCUAAUUGGCAACCAACCUUUUGAUACACCUACCUAAAAUGAUAAAUUCCUUCAACUUAUUUUCAUGUCUUGAAUCAGUUUGCCUUGUCUUGCAGGCUAGGCUUGAUAACCCAGCUCCAUGCUGCUGAUGCUGGGAUGCAGACUGGCUGAGCAGUGGGAAAAACCUCAUUUGUGGGUCAUUAAAUGAAGAUAGCUCCUACAUGCUUGAAGCUAAGUACCCAAAUCCGUUUUCACAAAGUGGCUCUACUACUUCAAAUCUAAAUUAAAGGAGGUAUUUUUGUUUUCAUUUAUAGGAAGAACUCAUUAGCACCACAUGAAUUGGUUGGGCUGCAAUGCUAAAAGGGGCAAGGCAAGCUUACCCCACUGGCAUGUUGGACAAGCCCUGCUGUCAUCCUCGUCCUCCUCUGGACUUGGAGGAUUUUUGAAUUGAAGAAAGGCAGUCAUACUAAAAUGUGUGCUAUUUUCAUGGGGAAGACAGACUAAUGCCAAACAUCCCUCACUUCACAUGUGAUCCGAAUAGGAUUUGACUAGAUUCUGAGCAGGAUCUAGCCCAUUCUGAGUAAACAUGGGCUGAGGCUGCUUUUGCCUACACGGAGACAAGUUUUCCUCAUAAGUGUCACUUUGGGUUUGUUAAAUGGUGGAACUCCGAAACAUUUAGUUGGUGUUUCCUUUCCCCUAAAUAAAUUGCCACUUCAGAGCUGUGGUCAGUCAUGAUGUGUAGUAAUAAAUAUCUAUAUCUCGGCCUUACCCAGCCAGGAAAAUAGCAGUUAUGAAAAAUCAUUGUUUACAGUUUCAAAAAGCAGUGACUUUGAAAAUGUAAAAUCAUUUCAAUCAGUGUGCACAGGCUGAAAGCCUUCUCAGGAUCUUAGGAUUUAUAUGCAAUUGUGUGUAAUGAAUGUAAAUGAAUGCUUGUUAAGCUUUUUAAUAGAUUAUUUGUGGUGCUGGACAUUUCUUGUAAUCACACGUGAGGGGGUUUUGGAUCAUGAAACAAAAUGCUAUCCAUCUAUAAUAUCUGUAAAAUACUGACUCUCUGAUCAUCAAACCCAAUGCAAGCAAAACUCUACUGAAGUUUUUUUAUUUUUUCUAUUCACCAAGAAAGUGAAAUAGAGUUGACAAAAUAUGGAAAAUAUCUAUUUUGAGAUGUUGGGCUUUGGUUUUUUUUCCUCCAGAACUCUUCAUGAAUCAUCAUCAGCUAUUGGAAAAAACAUAUUUUGCUAAAAUAUUUAGUACUCCUCUUCCUUUUUUAUGCCAGUUGACUUCAAGAAGCUAUUUUCCAGAACAAGGUAUCUUAGAUAAGUUGGCAUUUCUGUAAGCACAGGAAAGAAAUGGCCCACAUAACUCCCUGGGGGGACAGGGAAAACCCUAACUGAAAAAACUGAAAAGAAUUUGUUUAAGCCACAGGCAGAAAGUCACACAGGUAUGUUAUAAAAAAAGCUAUUUACUUUUUGCUGCUGCUGGUCUGUUGUUCAAGUAUGUUUACUCUUCUUUCCUAGGUGCAAGGGUCCUUCUCUUUUACUUUAGUUUGAAGCCACCCUGUGUGUCUGAUGUGCAGCUGGGGGGAUCCUCUCCUUCUGGCCCUUACAGACCUGCUUUCUGCUCAACUUUCAUGCUUUCCUGCGAGUACAGCAGGCAGUGGAGUACUCCAGAAAGCCCAGGUGACACUCAUGCUUUAAGCAAAUCCAGUGUGAGCACAGGGAUUUUUCUUGGCAGUUUGUAAUUUGUUUUUUUAGAACAUGAAUUAGUUGAUGUCAUCCUACACUUGGCUAACCUUGCCUCAUCCAUCUUUUGCAUUCUGGUGACCUUGGUAGGUUAGAAGUUGAUUUUAAGCCCCAGAGACUGUAAGGCAGAAGAUUAUGUGGAUAGUAAAAAGAUGAGGUCAGUUGUGGUACACUGCAGUGGGAACCUCCUUAUAUUACUUAUUUUACAAAAUACCAGAGACUUGACCUAGCUGCCUCUCUGACAGACCACAGCAAGGUAAUUAUUUAGCCAACAAAAAGGGGAGGAGGACAAACUUUGUAAACGUUAGUGUUUCUGCAAAAGGGAAAUUACUAAACUAGUAUUUUAAACCCCUUUCUAUGAUCUAAACUCAGCCUGCAGCAGCCACUGAUACAGUCUAGCAAAAGGACGAACUCUGUUGAUUUCCCCAAACCAAAAUACCUGGGGCUUAUAAUGCACUUCAUGGCUUGAGGAAGUCCUGCAGGGUUUUGACCUGCCUUAAUGUUUUCCAUGUACUAAGGAGCAAUCAUCUUGAAAAUGAAGAGUGAAGAAAAUUGAUGGGGAAAGGAUGAGAACCCUGAGAAGCAAAUGACCUCAUGUGCUUCUGUUUAAGAAGUUGAACAAUCUUGAUGGAGAAUGGAAUCACAGCAAGAUGAGGAGACAUGCCUGAGGACAUGCCUUAUGUUAGUGGCAGGGCUAGGAACCUCUACAAGUAGCCCUGAUCAGCCUGGCAGAUAGGUAGCCCCAACAAAGCCAAGACUGUAAGAGCAUUUUUUUACCUACUACGAACAUUUUCCUGUGUGUUCAGUUACUCCCCAGGAAGCAGGAGCUCCAGGCACAGGAGCUGGGCUGCAGGCAGAAUCACAGGGUGGCCUUCAAGAGUAACACCCAUCAAGAGUGACCUGGACUUGAGGCUGCCAGUUCAGCUCUGGCACAAUCACAGUCCUCACAAAUGUUGAAAUGCAAACCAGAAAAGCCAAGCUGCACCUUUUUCUUUCUUGACAAGUACUUUAAAUAGAAAUACUCUGACCUAUUUUUUAACGCUACUCCUGUCUUGAUAUUCCCGUGUAGAAAAGAGCUGUGUGUCACUCUGCAGCAGCCCUGUUCUCAAAGGCUUAGGGCUGGAUUCAGCCCAGCAGCCCUGUACUGGGAAACAGCCAUCCAGCCACACCAAAAGGGUUAUUUGACAAUGGCUCAGAGCAGCCCUUUUCAAGCCUUGAAGAGCACAACAAUUCAAAUAAUAGUCACUGCCGGCUUUGCUCUUUUCAUGCUCUCUCCUAGCUUGGCACUGUAAUAAUUAAAAGCCUCA